AGUAAUAGUAAUUAUAAGUUUUAUUAAUAAGUACCUAAUUCAAUAGACUACAUAAUAUAAAAUCACGAUUGCCAAUUAAAUAACAUAGUUUGUAACAAAAAUGAGAUUCUGUAUUUCAGUCUUCGUACCAUCCGUCCGUCCGUCCGUGUGUUUCAGUGUACGUACUAAAGAAAAAUAAGCUAGUAAAUAUGGAAGACUGACAACCUCUAUACAACGCUGCGUAUCUCAUCAUUGUUAUAGUGUGAGUGAAUAUGAAAACAUUUAAACUGUCACCAUAUCGAUAUUUUAUAUCUUCGUACUUGUCUAACCGCUGCCACAGGCAAGCACAAUGAAAAUGUAGUAAAACCAUCAUAGGCAUUGUACUUAGUUACUUACUUAAUGGCGCAGCGACCCAAAAUGAGUCUUGGCCUCCGACACGAGUACACGCCAGUCGUCUCGAUCCUGUGCCAUCUCCCGCCAGUUAUCGGCAUGGAGAUCGCGCAAGCAUUGUAGUUUUGUAUAUUUAAUAGUGUUAUCUGUUGGAAAGUGUCUUCGUAAACUAAAAAAAUUGUUUUAUAGGUUACUGCAUAAACGCACGUGGAACAAGUUUAAAUGUUUGAAUAAAUAUACAGCGUUUGUUCGCGUGCGUGAUGCCGUCACAUUCGUUUCGACCUUGCUGCUAACAGACUAAAUUUGUAUCAGUGCCUAAUCCUCGACAAUAUACUCUUCAUAUGGACUCAUCAUAGUUUCCUUUACGCCCAGAUUCAACACUAUCCAGUGAACUCUCUGAGAAGUUUCAAAUAGGUAUGGCGCCAUUAAAUAGUUUUUACGUGUAUACCUCGUUUUUUUUUAGCAUCAGAAAAGACUACACGAUCUUUGCGUGUCUUUUUAUUGUAAAACUCUAAGUAAAAUUGUAAGAAUUGCUUAUGAAACCAAAAAAAUGUAAAUGAACAUAUAUGCUAUAUAAUUGUUUUAUAUUUGCUGUGACUUCCUUAUUUUUCAAGUGUUUUUCAAUAAAGAGACACGUCAAUAUCGUGUAGUAUUUUUCUAAUGCUAAAAUAACGAAGUAUAAAAUGCUUUUAUUGGGCCAUCUACAACGCAGCGGUGUAUGAAAAUUAACACUAUUCUCUGCUAUCAGAUUAAUACAUUGUUAAUAAAUUGAUUUAUGAAAAAAUAGUAUCCCCGACUUUAACAACUAAAGUAGAUGGCGCUCUACGAUUCCAUAUCUUUUGUGGUAAGGUAACUGAAUUAUCAAAUGUUUUUUGACAACCAGAGUACAGAGCCAUCUACAAAAGCUGUCUAAAUCGAAGAACGCAUUUGUCUUCAACUUAUACAUCCUAUAUAGUCAAUGAUAGCCUAUUAA